GUCACGAAGAGUCGGACACGACUAAACAACAACAAAACAUAAACCUGGUAGAAUAGAGGAAAGCAGUGGGGCACAGUUACCUUUGAAAACAAUUUUGAUAGGAAGAACAGGGAAAGGGUAUACUGGUGGUGGUUUUGUUCUGUAAAUAUUGUUUGGCUCUUUGAAGCCUCCACUGUUGAUUCUGCAGGGCUUAAUCCUACCUACUGUGCUGCUUAACACCUACCUGAAACUGCUGAGUGAAGUCAUCCAGAGUUUUGAAGUGCAUCAUGAGUACGUUGAGAGCAACACAGCUCUAUUUCUCCUUGUCAUCUCAACCAGUGUGGCGGCGGAUGUGUUGAACCAGUAUCUGACCUUGACAAUGGACUGGAUGAAGCUCUAAGCCAGAGACAUUGUUAGUGGCUGGUUCCUCUGUCUGAAGUGCAACUGUUUUCUUCCUGGAAUCCCAUUCUAGAAGGAGCAGCUUGGAGCUCCUCUUGGAUUUACUGUUGUCCCCAUGGGAUGCCCUUUACAAGGUUGGGCUGGUGCCUUAGCUGUGACCCUGUUUGUAUGGGGAUAGCCUGGUUUCUGUGAUCUGUGCUUUGGUAACCUCAAAGGCAGAUUACGAUACUGGGUUGUAUUUUGGCCUCUGUUUUCAACAAGGUUCAGAAACGGCAGGCACGGUCAGAUUAUUUCCUGGAACUGGCACUCUGAAUUUAUAACUCCAGUUCUAGCCAAAUGCACUAGUUUCCCAUUUGUUUCUUCACAAAGCGAUACAAAGGCUGUUCCUAGCUCAGGCCCACAAUACCUCAAUAAUCACCUUUCCCCAUAAGAGUUUACUCUGAUCCAGGGAUUGUGAUCUGACGUCCUUCACCGAUAGCCCCUUUAAAGAGAAUAGACCUUUCUGUGGUACCCCUCCCUUGCUCCUGAUUUUGGGAUGCUCUCCUGUGCUAGGCUAGUGUCAAAAUUGCUCUUUUUUUCCUCCACCAUGUGAAAACUUACUUAUGUGCACAAUAAUAUUCUGGCUUUCAGUGGCUACUUUUGAUGUUCCUGUCUGUGCUGGCUAUGGGUGGUUCUUUUCUUUUUACAAAGCAUUUUUAAAUGAAAACCAUUUGUAAAUUUGUAUUGUUUUACUGGAUACAUUGUUACCUCUGGUCAUUGUUUUGCUUUUCUUUCCACAAGUUGCUUCGGGGCCUCCUCUGGUUGUGGGAAGCGAUGAAUAAAUUUAAUAAAGUUUAAUAAAUGUAUAAAUUCACCUCUUUGAUAAUGUAAUAAGCCUAAGGACGAUGUACUCCUCCUAGCUUAUAAAUCAUAUAGGGGACAAGAAAGGCAAAGAAGCACAGGAAGAACAAAAUGUUGUUCUGUGACAACUUAUUUGGUACUAAUGAUUGUGCAGGGCUCUGCAAAAUAAUCACGUUAACCAACGCACUGGCCUUCCUGCCUCAUAAAAAAAAAAAAAAAUCCCCUUAAUAGUCUAUUGAGCAGUCUUGAGUUUCAAGCUGUUGGUAAAAGCAAAACUAUACUCAAAACGUGAAAAGACUGUGGAGGUAAAUAUAUCCCAAUAAACGUGGGGAAAAGCCUCUUCAAGCUCAUACUUCGGAGUGAAAGAGCAGAAACCGAAUUCACUUCAGAAGAACGCAGAAGAAAAGCAUCAUGUCCCCCAGACUAGUUCCCUGUGGAUCCACGUUUGUACCUUUUCCGGGACUUGAACCUCCAAGCUUCGAUUCUGGACUGAGGUAAUUGUGCUAGUGUGUGUUUCUAAUGUAGACUGGGAAGCAGCGGCUGCUAACUUGUAGCAAGCCCUGUGUAUUCAUGUUUAUGCUGCUGCUACUUUGGUGCUCAAGUAAAGGACUGAAAUGACAUUCUUAUUACAGAUAUAGCAAUACAACAGGAUAGUUAAACCUCAGGUUGAGCUGAAAAGUUUGAAGCGUUUUGUACGAUCAUCUCUUAACAUAUUGCGUGCAUUAGAUAUUACCACGAAAAUAAGUGUUUUCCAGGGAUAAAUUUUGCAUUCUUGGCAGACCCUUCCACUUACGUUGAUGGUAAUUACCUAGGCUACAAUUCUGAUUUUUGCUAAGUGAUGUGAGCACCUGCCUGCCAUUAAAAGCCAUUAAAAAUUAAGUGCAAGACUGUUUUUAG